GGCCGUCGUUAAGUCAGAUGUGAAAGACCCGGGGCGUUAACCUCGGAAUUGCAUUUGUAAACUAGGCAGGCUAGAGUCUUGUAGAGGGGGGUAGGAAGUUUCAGGUGUAGCGGUGAAAUGCGUAGAGAUCUGAAGGAAUACCAGUGGCGAAGGCGGCCCCCCUCGGACAAAGACUGACGCUCAGAUGCGAAAGCGUGGGGAGCAAACAGGAUUAGAUACCCCUGGUAG
rnacentral:rRNA from 1 species